rnacentral:rRNA from 1 species
UACGAAGGGGGCUAGCGUUGUUCGGAAUUACUGGGCGUAAAGCGCACGUAGGCGGAUAUUUAAGUCAGGGGUGAAAUCCCAGAGCUCAACUCUGGAACUGCCUUUGAUACUGGGUAUCUCGAGUAUGGAAGAGGUGAGUGGAAUUCCGAGUGUAGAGGUGAAAUUCGUAGAUAUUCGGAGGAACACCAGUGGCGAAGGCGGCUCACUGGUCCAUUACUGACGCUGAGGAGCGAAAGCGUGGGGAGCAAACAGG